rnacentral:tRNA from 1 species
GGGGUUGUGCCUCAGCGGUAGAGUGCUCGCCUAGCAUGUGAGAGGCCCUGGGUUUGAUCCUCAGCACCA